rnacentral:rRNA from 1 species
GACGAACCGAGCGAACGUUGUUCGGAAUAACUGGGCUUAAAGGGCGCGUAGGCGGGCUAUCAAGUCCGGGGUGAAAUCCUCCAGCUCAACUGGAGAACGGCCUCGGAUACUGAUGGUCUCGAGGAGGAUAGGGGCACACGGAACUGUGGGUGGAGCGGUGAAAUGCGUUGAUAUCCAUAGGAACUCCGGUGGCGAAAGCGGUGUGCUGGAUCCUUUCUGACGCUGAGGCGCGAAAGCCAGGGGAGCAAACGGG